rnacentral:tRNA from 1 species
GUUGAGGUAGUCUAACAAGACAUCUGAUUUCGACUCGGAAGAACUUAAUAAUUAAGCCUCAGUA